CUACUGAAAACACAAAGCUACUGGCAAGCAUAUUCCUAAUCUCACACAUAUGUCAGUUCUCUAAAGAAAAAGAGUAAGUAGCGUAAGUGUCAAUACAGAGGACAGAAAAAGAUCAGCAGAAGUCUGACUACAAGUUGUAUGGUAUGAUUUUUUUAUUUUAUUUUUACUUUUAUUAUAACAAAUUCUGGGAUACAUGUACAGAACGGGCAGGUUUGUUACAUAAGUAUACAAGUCCCUUGGUGGUUUGCUCUGCCCAUCAACCAAUCAUAUACAUUAGGUAUUUCUCCUAAUGCUAUCCUUCCCCUAACCCCCACCCUCUGACAGGCCCUGGUGUGUGAUAUUCCCCUCCAUGUGUCCAUGUGUUCUCAUUAUUCAACUCCCACUUAUGAGUGAGAACAUGUGGGGUUUCGCUUUCUGUUCCUGUGUUAAUUUGCUGAGAAUGAUGGUUUCCAGCUUCAACCAUGUCCCAGCAAAAGGACAUAAACUCAUUCUUUUUUGUGGCUGCAUAGUAUUCCAUGGUGUAUAUAAGCCACAUUUUCUUUAUCCAGUCUAUCAUUCAUGGGCAUUUGGAUUGGUUCAAAGUCUUUGCUGUUGUGAAUAGUGCUACAGUAAACACACAUGUGCAUGUGUCUUUAUAAUAGAAUAAUUUAUAAUCCUUUGGGUGUAUACACCAUAAUAGGAUUGCUGGGUCAAAUGGUAUUUCUGUUUCUAGAUCUUUGAGUAAUCAGCACACUGUCUUCUAUUAGUUCUAUGUUGAACUGAUUUACACUCCCACCAACAGUAUAAAAGUGUUCCUAUUUCUCCACAUCCUCUUCAGCAUUUGUUGUUUUCUGACUUUUUAAUGAUCACCAUUCAAACUGGCAUGAGAUGGUAUCUCAUUGUGGUUUUCAUUUGCAAUUCUCUAAUGACCACUGAGGAUAAGCAUUUUUUUAUGUGUUUAUUGGCUGCAUAAAUGUCUUUUUUUUUUUUUUUUUGAGACUGAAUAGCCAGGAUGGUCUUGAUCUCCUGACCUUGUGAUCUGCCCACCUCGACCUCCCAAAGUGCUGGGACUACAGGGAUGAGCCACAGCACCCGGGCCAUAAAUGUCUCCUUUUGAGAAGUGUCUGUUCAUAUACUUCAUCCACUUUUUGAUAGGAUUAUUUUUGUUUAUUGUAAAUUUGUGUAAGUUAUUUGUAGAUUCUGGAUAUUAGCCCUUUGUCAGAUGGAUAGAUGGCAAAAAUUUUCUCUCAUUCUGUAGGAUGCCUGUUCACUCUGAUGACAGUUUCUUGGUAUAAAUUUUUGGAAAUCCUAAAAGUGCUCUUUAAAGUGUGAUCUUUUGAACACUGGAAAUACGAAGACACCAGGAAAGCAUAAUACCCUAUUUUCAAGAGUUGAUGACCUGAAUCCCUGUGUAGCUCUCUAAUGCAAAGAUGAGAGUCACAGCAACUGGGUCAAAUAAUAAAUUUUGAAGAAAAUGAAGACUGUGUUCUCAGUUCCAGGUGCUUCAUCAGGCUCAUUGUGGAUCCAGACUACCAGACACAAGACAUUACACAUUGUAAUGCAUUAAAUGCAUAGUUUUAACAGUAAUAAUUUAAAAGAGAUUUAGAAUUUUAUAAUGUUUGGAAAAAUACAUAGAGGCUUACUUUUUAUUUUAUUUUUUUGAGAUAGGAAGCCUUUUUUUUUGUUUUUGUUUUUGUUUCUGUUUUUGUUUUUUGAGACAGAGUCUCACCAUGUCACCCAGACUGGAGUGCAGUGGUGCAAUAUCGGCCCAUUGCAAGCUCCACAUCCCAGGUUCACACCAUUCUCCUGCCUCAGCCUCCCAAGUAGCUGGGACUACAGGUGCCCGCCACCACAUCCAGCUAAUUUUUUUUUGUACUUUUAGUAGAGACGGGGUAUCACCAUGUGAGCCAAGAUGGUCUCCAUCUCCUGACCUCGUGAUCUGCCCACCUUGGCCUCCCAAAGUGCUGGGAUUACAGGGGUGAGCCACCACGCCCAGGCAUAGAGGCACUUUUAACCAUAAAUGAACACUGUUAUGAUUUGUAUUACCACAGUAUCAUUAUUCUGUCCUGUUUGCCUUACAUUUUAUUUAUUUAUUAUACUGUAAGUUCUGGGAUACAUGUGCAGAAUGUGCAGGUUUGUUACAGAGAUAUAUGCUUGUUUGCUGCACCUGUCAGUUUUUCAUCUACAUUAGGUAUUUCUCCUAAUGCUAUUCCCUGUUAGGUCCCCACCCUCCAACAGUCUCCAGUGUUUGAUGUUCCCCUCCCUAUGUCCAUGUAUUCUCAUUUUACAACUCCCACCUAUGAGUGAGAAAUUGCAGUGUUUGUGUGUUUGGAACUUAUUCCUUCCAGUGGGUUUGUGGUCUCGCUCACUGCAAAAAUGAAGCUGUAGACCGUUUCGGUGUGUGUUACAACUCUUAAAGGUGGUGUGUCUGGAGUUUGCUACUUCACAUGAGCUCAUGGUCUUGCUUACUUCAAGAAUGAAGCUGCAGACAUUUACGGUGAGUGUUACAGCAUUUAAAGCUGUUAUGUCCAGAGUUUGUUCCUUAAGAUGUGUCCAGAAUUUCUUCCUUCAGGCAGGUUCAUGGUCCUGCUUAAUUCAAGAACGAAGCUGCAGACAUUUACGGUGAGUGUUACAGCACUUAAAGGUGUUAUGAACACAGAUUGUUCCUUCAGAUGUGUCCAGAGUUUCUUCCAUCUGGCAGGUUCAUGGCCUUGCUUACUUCAAGAAUGAAGCUGCAGACCUUUACUGUGAGUGUUACAACACUUAAAGGUGUUAUGUCCAGAGUUUGUUCCUUCAGAUGUGUUCAGAGUUUCUUCCUUCUGGCAGGAUCAUGGUCUUGCUCACUUCAAGAAUAAAACUGUAGAACUUAGUGGUGAGCGUUACAGCACUUAAAGGUGUUACGUCCAGAGUUUGUUCAUUCACAUGUGUCCAGAGUUUCUUCCUUCUGGCAGGUUCAUGGUCUUGCUCACUUCAAGAAUGAAGCUGCAGACCUUAGUGGUGAGUGUUACAGCACUUAAUGGUGUUAUGUUCAGAGAUUGUUCAUUCAGAUGUGUCCGUAGUUUCUUCCUUCUGGCAGGGUCAUGGUCUUGCUCACUUCAAGAAUGAAG
rnacentral:lncRNA from 10 species